CCUACGGGAGGCAGCAGUGGGGAAUAUUGGGCAAUGGAGGAAACUCUGACCCAGCGACGCCGCGUGCGGGAUGAAGGCCUUCGGGUUGUAAACCGCUUUCAGUAGGGAAGAAGCGAAAGUGACGGUACCUACAGAAGAAGCACCGGCUAACUAUGUGCCAGCAGCCGCGGUAAUACAUAGGGUGCAAGCGUUGUCCGGAAUUAUUGGGCGUAAAGAGCUCGUAGGUGGUUCGUCACGUCGGAUGUGAAAAUCUGGGGCUCAACCCCAGACCUGCAUUCGAUACGGGCGAUCUAGAGUGUGGUAGGGGAGACUGGAAUUCCUGGUGUAGCGGUGGAAUGCGCAGAUAUCAGGAGGAACACCAAUGGCGAAGGCAGGUCUCUGGGCCAUUACUGACACUGAGGAGCGAAAGCGUGGGGAGCGAACAGGAUUAGAUACCCUGGUAGUCCACGCCGUAAACGGUGGGCACUAGUUGUGGGAACCUUCCACGGUUUCUGCGACGCAGCUACGCAUAGUAGCCCGCCGUCGGGAGGUACGAGUCGCGAGAAGUUAAACUAACGUAAAGUAAGUAGUUAGACGUGUUAGAGAGCGACGACGACGACGACGGAGGAGGAG
rnacentral:rRNA from 1 species